UUUUAUUUUGCAAGAUCUACAACUUUCAUGUUGGAAGUUUUUUGAGUUGUGUAGGUGAAAUUUUGAGUUCUCACCAUGCCUUCAAAAACCCUAAUUCCCGACUUUUUGCUCCUUGAUGAAUUUCUUUGAAUUUCUUUGGUCAAAUGACUUUGACAUCCAUAUAUUGAUGAUAUUGAUCUUUGAAAGUCAUUUUUUGACCAAAAACCUUAAAAGUCAAUGAUGAUCCCACACAGUUGACUUUUCCUGACAAAGUGAAUUUUUUGGGCUUUUGUGUAGAAACAAGAUCUUUUCCUCAAAUGAAUGGUGUAAAUGGAUUAUAUUGAGGUAGUAGAGAUUCUUGAAUCAUGUCUUGAGUUUUGGAUCCAUGCCCUGAUUAAAAGUCAACUAUCUUGGUGAAUUAGGUCAAAAACCCUAAUUGUCGAUCAGAGGACAAUGAUGACUGUAGACUUUGAACUGAGGUGUAAUGUCCAGUGGAUCUUGUCAUAUGAGUUGUUUGAAGAUGAUUGAUGUCUUUGAAUGGUCCCUUAGGGCUUUUUAGGGUUUCCCAAAGGUGAUCCCUGAUUUUAGUCCUUGAUAGGCUCCAAACCCUAGUCUGUUGAUCUGAGUAAUCCUGUACUUAGGUGACUGGGUGUCUUAAUCAAUCAUAGGUGUAAUAAUGAGGCUUUUGAGUCUUAUGAUUGUAUUAGAGACUAAUCCCUCUAUUGAUUGAUCCUUUGCCUGAGUUUUCUUGUCUUUGAACACCCUUGAUUGAAUGUUAGGCUGUUCUGGAUACUUGCUUCGACUUGAUGAAAAAUCCUGAAGAUAUGUCAUCUCAGGGGGGGUCAAAAAUUAGGGUAUGACAGAUGCCCCUUGUCGCGGCCGGCAAAAAUUAACAGAGUCGCCAUCGAUAUUUAUUUGUUCCUAAAGAACGGGGAAAAUGUCGAAUAAAACCCAUAAAGGAAAGGGAAUGGUCAUCGCAACCAUAUCGGGUUCGGGAGUCGGUUACGCGAGGGGAAGGUAUUAGCACCCCUCACGUCUGUUGUACUCAACGGGACCCAUUUAGUUAGUUAUGCGUUUGAGUUUUAGUGUGAAUUAUUUGCUAUCUUCUACUUAGUGAGCGAGAAAAAAAAAAUAAAAGACGGGUUUUUGUUUUUUAGUUUAUUGGGCUCGCCAAGACAUCGUGUCUUGUGCCUACGUAUUCCCUCGUGCAAUGGGAAAGUCAGAGCUCCGUAGUUCGGGGUAAAAAAACCACGGGUUUGUUGGUUGAUUUUAGAAGAAUGAUGCAUUAGACAUUUCGAACGUUUGAACUUUGACUUGUUUGCUCGUCUGAGAGGCUAAGUCUAUUUGUUCGUUCUUCGUGUCGAAAUGGCUAAGACACAUUCGUUUUGAAAAUAUUUUCGAAGAGUCGCACAAGGGCGAAAAAAGAAGUUUGAUGAGUUUAAGUUGUUUUUUAUGUGAGUGACAAGUAUUGGAUCACAAGUCUAGAACAACAAACGAUCCAGUUACUAGGAAUCAGAGGAACAAAAUGUGUUCAACCAAUUGUUUUCACCCAAAAGUUUUCUUUAUUAAAAUGGUGAGGUGAAACAAGGUUCACUUAUUAGAGUUUAUUGUGCAUGGAGGACAAAUAUUAAACCAUAAGUCUAAAACAACCAACGGUGUAAUACUUGGAAAUGGAGGAACAAAUGGUGUUCAACCAAUCUUUUUCACACCAAGUUUAUUAAAAAUAUUUUGAAGAAAAAAGAGCCACACAAAUGUUUAUGAGAAAUAUUUUAAUCAAGUACGUAUUAGCAACAAACUACCAAAUAAAUAAACUAAAAAAAAUGUGAUAAAAAAUAACGUGAGACGAUAAAAAUAAAUAAAGGUAAUAUCAGCCAUACAAAUAAAACUUAAACCUAUUUCUAAAAGCACUCCCUUAAUUAAAUUAUAAAAUUAAUUAUUUGAAAUCUAAUUCUAAUUAAUAAUUAUAAAUAUAAUUAAACUAUGAACUACUGUAUUGAUAUUUUUCCAAGCAAAAGAAAAGUGGUUAAGUUUAUAUUGAUGAAUCGUAAAAAUCUGCCAGAAUUCAAAUCCUCCUCUACAACUCUCAAUUUUCGCUCUCCUCUCUAUUUUCUCUCUCACAUAAAGCUCGUUGGGAAACAGGCCGACCGCCGCGCCGGAAAUCUCCCUACGGCGGCGGCAGCGCCGGUCUACGGCCGACUAUCAAAAUUCGACACCCUCCCCACUAAUUCCUAUCUUCUAAACCCAAAUAUGGCAUCAGACUCUCCUAAUUUCAAGCCUAAACCCUUCAAAUCAGAAUAAAACUUUGAACCCUAAAUUCAAAAAAAUCUUAAAUCGAACUCUGUCCCUGAAGCUAAUUAGCAAAUCCUAUCGGAUCUAAGAUUAUACACACAGAUACACACAACAUGGCAUGGAAAAAACAAGAAGAGAAUGAAUCAAGGUACCUGGUUCGACGGCGCCGGCGAGUCUCUUCGGUUUGGAACUUUGGAGAUGUCAUACGGGAUGCGCAUCCUCGGAACUCUUUCUUUAGAUUAACUCAAAGAUAGCUACCAAUGUUAACCAAAUGACUCAAGGAACAGCUUAUUCAAAUUUGUAAGAAAUUGAUUCAGUGUAGCAAGCUGUAACGAAAUUGAUUCAAAUCUUUAUUUUGAAGUCCAUGUAGCUCAAUGUAACAAGAUAAUUCAAAGAGUUUGUAAUGAAAAUUCAAUUUCGUAUUAUUUCCCAUGACUUGAACUUGUAAUAGAGAUUCAAAUAGGCAUUCCUUUUA